rnacentral:rRNA from 1 species
AGCCGGCCUGAGAGGGUGACCGGCCACACUGGGACUGAGACACGGCCCAGACUCCUACGGGAGGCAGCAGUGGGGAAUAUUGCACAAUGGGCGCAAGCCUGAUGCAGCAACGCCGCGUGCGGGAUGACGGCCUUCGGGUUGUAAACCGCUUUUAGUACGGAAGAAGGGCUUCUGCUUGACGGUACCUGCAAAAAAAGGACCGGCUAACUACCUGCCACCACCCGCGGUAAUACGUAGGGUCCGAUCGUUGUCCGGAAUUAUUGGGCGUAAAGAGCUCGUAGGCGGUUUGUCCCGUCUGCUGUGAAAUCUGGAGGCUCAACCUCCAGCCUGCAAUGGGUACGGACAGACUUGAGGGUGUAAGGGAAACUGGAAUUCCUGGUGUAGAGUGGAAUGCGCACAUAUCAGGAGGAACACCGAUGGCCAGGCAGGUCUCUGGGCACUUACUGACACUGAGGAGCGAAGCGUGGGGAGCGAACAAGAUUACAUACCCUGGUAGUCCACGCCGUAAACGUUGGGCGCUAGAUGUGGGGACCUUUCCACGGUUUCCGUGUCGUAGCUACGCAUACC